GACGAACGCUGGCGGCGUGCUUAACACAUGCAAGUCGAACGGAAAGGCCCUGCUUUUGUGGGGUGCUCGAGUGGCGCACGGGUGAGUAACACGUGAGUAACCUGCCCUUGACUUUGGGAUAACUUCAGGAAACUGGGGCUCAUACCGGAUAGGAGCUCCUGCUGCACGGGGGGGGUUGGAAAGUUUCGGCGGUUGGGGAUGGACUCGCGGCUUACCCGCUUGUUUGUGGGGUAGUGGAUUUCAAAGGCUUUGACGGGUAGCCGGCCUGAGAGGGGGAACGGGCACAUGGGGACUAAGGUACGGCGCAGACGCGUACGGGAGGCAGCAGGGGGGAAUAUGGCACAAUGGGCGGAAGCCUGAGGCAGCGACCCCGCGUGCGGGAUGACGGCCUUCGGGUUGUAAACCGAUUUCGACUGUGACGAAGCGGGAGUGACGGUAAUGGGUAAAGAAGCACCGGCUAACUACGUG
rnacentral:rRNA from 1 species